UCGACCAACAGGGGCUUGGAUGUCCACCA
rnacentral:sRNA from 1 species